rnacentral:rRNA from 1 species
GACGAACGCUGGCGGCGUGCUUAACACAUGCAAGUCGAACGAUGAAGAAAAGAAUCGAAGCUUCGGCAGAAAUUCAUUUCGGAUUAGUGGCAGACGGGUGAGUAACGCGUGAGCAACCUACCUCUUACAAAGGGAUAGCCUCGGGAAACCGGGAUUAAUACCAUAUAACAUUGCGACGAAGCAUUUCGAUGCAAUCAAAGCUACGGCGGUAAGUGAUGGGCUCGCGUCCCAUUAACCGGAUGGUGAGGUAACGGCUCACCAUAGUGACGAUGGGUAACCGGGCUGAGAGGGUGAACGGUCACACUGGAACUGAGACACGGUCCAGACUCCUACGGGAGGCAGCAGUGGGGAAUAUUGCACAAUGGAGGGAACUCUGAUGCAGCGACGCCGCGUGAGUGAUGAAGGAAUUCGUUUCGUAAAACUCUGUUCUAUGGGAAGAAAAGGACUGUACCAUAGGAGAAAGCUCCGGCUAAAUACGUG